rnacentral:misc_RNA from 1 species
GAUGAAGAACGCAGCGAAAUGCGAUACUUGGUGUGAAUUGCAGAAUCCCGUGAACCAUCGAGUCUUUGAACGCAAGUUGCGCCUCAAGCCAUUAGGUUGAGGGCACGUCUGCCUGGGCGUCACAUAUCGUUGCCUGAUGCCAGUUUCCUCGUGAUGGGUGACUGUGCAGGGCGAAUGAUGGCUUCCCGUGAGCAUUGUUGCCUCAUGGUUGGUUGAAAAUUGAGUCCUUGGUAGGGAGCGCCGUGAUAGAUGGUGGUUGAGUGACGAACGAGACCAAAUCAUGUGAGACCCCUACCGAAUUUGGCCUUCAUGACCCACAUGCGUCUUUGGAACGCUCAUGACGAGACCUCAGGUCAGGCGGGGCUACCCGCUGAGUUUAAGCAUAUCAAUAAGCGGAGGA